rnacentral:rRNA from 1 species
AUUGAACGCUGGCGGCAUGCCUUACACAUGCAAGUCGAACGGUAACGCGGGGCAACCUGGCGACGAGUGGCGAACGGGUGAGUAAUGCAUCGGAACGUGCCCAGAAGUGGGGGAUAGCCCGGCGAAAGCCGGAUUAAUACCGCAUGAGACCUGAGGGUGAAAGCGGGGGAUCGCAAGACCUCGCGCUUUUGGAGCGGCCGAUGUCAGAUUAGCUAGUUGGUGGGGUAAAGGCCUACCAAGGCGACGAUCUGUAGCUGGUCUGAGAGGACGACCAGCCACACUGGGACUGAGACACGGCCCAGACUCCUACGGGAGGCAGCAGUGGGGAAUUUUGGACAAUGGGCGCAAGCCUGAUCCAGCCAUGCCGCGUGCGGGAAGAAGGCCUUCGGGUUGUAAACCGCUUUUGUCAGGGAAGAAACGCUCUGGGCUAAUACCCUGGGGUAAUGACGGUACCUGAAGAAUAAGCACCGGCUAACUACGUGCCAGCCGCCGCAGUAA